rnacentral:rRNA from 1 species
CAUCACGAGAUAGCAAUAUUUUGGUGGCGACCGGCGCACGGGUGAGUAACACGUAUGCAACCUGCCCUGUACAGGGGGAUAACCCGGAGAAAUUCGGACUAAUAUCCCAUAAUGAUAUUGAAAGGCAUCUUUUAAUAUUUAAAGCUCAGGCGGUACGGGAUGGGCAUGCGGAACAUUAGCUGGUUGGUAGGGUAACGGCCUACCAAGGCUACGAUGUUUAGGGGACCUGAGAGGGUUAUCCCCCACACUGGUACUGAGACACGGACCAGACUCCUACGGGAGGCAGCAGUGAGGAAUAUUGGUCAAUGGGCGCAAGCCUGAACCAGCCAUCCCGCGUGAAGGAAGAAGGCGCUAUGCGUCGUAAACUUCUUUUCCAGGGGGAGAAUCUUCCGGUCGUGACCGGAAUUGACGGUACUCUGGGAAUAAGCAUCGGCUAACUCCGUGCCAGCAGCCGCGGUAAUACGGAGGAUGCGAGCGUUAUCCGGAUUUAUUGGGUUUAAAGGGUGCGU